rnacentral:tRNA from 1 species
GGGGCUGUAGCUCAAUGGUAGAGCGCUCACCUAGCAAGUGCGAGGCCCUGGGUUCUAUCCUCAGUACCA